GAGGGUAUAGCUCAGGGGUGGAGUGUGUGCUUAGCAUGCAUGAGGUCCAGGGUUCAGUCCCUAGUACCUCUG
rnacentral:tRNA from 1 species